GGGGAAUUUUGCACAAUGGGCGCAAGCCUGAUGCAGCAACGCCGCGUGCGGGAUGAAGGCCCUCGGGUUGUAAACCGCUUUCAGCAGGGACGAAACUGACGGUACCUGCAGAAGAAGCCCCGGCUAACUACGUGCCAGCAGCCGCGGUAAUACGUAGGGGGCAAGCGUUAUCCGGAUUUAUUGGGCGUAAAGCGCGCGUAGGCGGCUUGUUAAGUCAGAUGUGAAAACCGGGGGCUCAACCCGCGGCCUGCAUCUGAAACUGGCAGGCUUGAGUCUGGUAGAGGAAAGUGGAAUUCCUGGUGUAGCGGUGAAAUGCGCAGAUAUCAGGAGGAACACCAGUGGCGAAGGCGGCUUUCUGGGCCACGACUGACGCUGAGGCGCGAAAGCUAGGGGAGCGAAC
rnacentral:rRNA from 1 species